rnacentral:lncRNA from 10 species
UCGGGUGGAAGUGGCCCGAUUUUCCAGGUAAAGACCUUCACAAUCGGGAACCCGUAGAUUGGAUCUUCUGAAAACAUCAGAGAAAGACUAUCUUUGCCAUCCACACUACAGUAAAACUUUGGAGCCUUGAACCUUGGAUUUAUAAUCUCACAACUGAGAAGGGUCCCUCCAUACUCCUGGAACUGUACACCCAUUGGAACUCUUAAGGAUGAUAUACAUGGCCAGGUGAAGACAGUAGAGAGAAAACAGAACUGAAACGUUGGCAAGCUUGGGCUUGAAGUUUUUGGUGACACAAGACUGGCUUCUACUUCAGGAGACCAACUUCUUUUUCACAUAGCUCCAAUUUUCAGAGGAGGUAAGAAUCAGCAGAAAAGAAGGAAUCUUUGGAGAGCCAAAACCAUCUCUACACCAAAUUGAGAGACUGGAAUUAUAAGGUGAAUGCAAUUAACUGGCAGUCGCAUCCAUGUUGAGAACACAGUCAUCCCUUUAAUAGAGAACAUUUGCUGUGCUUGACAAACUCACAGUGAAAUGGUUGGAUCCAUAGGAAGCAACAUGCUGAAAAUGGUUUCAAUAUGAUCCUGUUUUUUCACUCAAUAGCCAUUGAUUGAGGGUGUCCAGCCAAAAACAAUGAGAAAAUGAGCCAACAAUAGUCUUACCCUUUGACCAUAUUAGAUAAAGUCGCAGCUGAAAUUUGUUAUAUGUUUCAGGAAUAACAAAGCAUCCAUAUGGAACAUAUAUUUGGCAGUGUGGCAGCUGAUGAAACCAGGAAAAUUAGACAAAUUAUCAAUUGCUCGCUCCCAAAUUACCCCAAAAAGAAAUUAGAUCCAUUUUCAGUAGCUUUGCCUUCAAAUUUCUUCAUUCCGUGAGUCACCACUACCUUCUGCCAAACUAAAUAUGUCUAUGAACGGCUGGAAACUUUAAUGGAAAGAAACAUAAAACUCAAACUACGUAGGAAAAUUUAAGCUUCUUCAUGGAAGAUCUUCGUGGAAGACUAGCAAGUUAGGAAUGUGUGAAGACAGACAACACAUCGAUAAUUCCUUUUGUUUGGGGUCACUUCUGAGUUAGAGAGCAAUGCAAC